CCCACCCUACCCGAUCCAUACUUGCAUUUCUCCAUCUCUCUCUGCUCUGCUAGGGCCGAACGGCUGCCCUCCGAUGGUCACCGGCGUGCAGACACCCGAUCAGGAGUACCAGACGCCGCUGAAACUCCAGCCUCGCGAGCCCUUCGUUGCCGUUCUCCGCCGCGAGCAGAAGCCUCCAGCUGGUGGAGCGGUGGCCUCGCAGGGGUCGCGACGGUGGGGGCAUUGAACAAUCAGAGGUAUGCCGUCGCAGCUGGUGGAGCGGUGGCCUCGCAGGGGUCGCGACGGUGGUCUCUGCUCUAAGUUUCGUAUGAAGUUGUUUGGAGGCUUUGAUGUAUUCCAAUUAUUUGGCUUGGUGUAUUUUGAGAUUUGGGAUUCCUUGGUUUGGUGGCUGUGUGAUUUGGGAUUUAAAUUUUUACUUGUUUAUCUUAAAAUUUUCUUGUAACUCUAGGAUAUUUUCUGGUUAGUUUCUGAUUUUAUCUUUUGGAUGUUUUUUGUCUUGAGCUGGAAAGUAGUGUAAGGAAACCAAGGCAUAUGGAUCUCUUAAACUAAUGGUUGAUGCUCUUCAAGUGUUUGAGAAAUUGAUGCAAAGAAACUACAGAAUAUGAUUUAAUGAAA